GGUGAAGUGUCCGAGUGGUCGAAGGAGCACGCCUGGAAAGUGUGUAUACGGGAAACCGUAUCAAGGGUUCAAAUCCCUUCUUCACCG
rnacentral:tRNA from 1 species